GGGCUGGUGGCGAAGCUCGGUAUCGCGUCCCGUUCGCAACGGGGAGACCCCGGGUUCAAAUCCCGGCCAGUCCA
rnacentral:tRNA from 1 species